GACGAACGCUGGCGGCGUGCCUAAUACAUGCAAGUCGAACGAAGCUGUUUUAACUGGUGCUUGCACCGACUUAAACAACUGAGUGGCGAACGGGUGAGUAACACAUGGGUAACCUGCCCCAAAGCGGGGGAUAACAUUUGGAAACAGAUGCUAAUACCGCAUAAUCACAGAAACCACAUGGUUUCUGUGUCAAAGAUGGUUUCGGCUAUCACUUUGGGAUGGACCCGCGGCGUAUUAGCUAGUUGGUAAGGUAAUGGCUUACCAAGGCAAUGAUACGUAGCCGAACUGAGAGGUUGAUCGGCCACAUUGGGACUGAGACACGGCCCAAACGCCUACGGGAGGCAGCAGUAGGGAAUCUUCCACAAUGGACGAAAGUCUGAUGGAGCGACGCCGCGUGAGUGAAGAAGGUUUUCGGAUCGUAACACUCUGUUGUCAGAGAAGAACGUGUGCGAGAGUAACUGUUCGUGCAGUGACGGUAUCUGGCCAGAAAGCCACGGCUAACUACGUGCCAGCAGCCGCAGUAA
rnacentral:rRNA from 1 species